UACGUAGGGGGCAAGCGUUGUCCGGAUUUAUUGGGCGUAAAGAGCGUGUAGGCGGCCAUGCAGGUCCGUUGUGAAAACUCGAGGCUCAACCUCGAGACGUCGAUGGAAACCGCACGGCUAGAGUCCGGAAGAGGAGAGUGGAAUUCCUGGUGUAGCGGUGAAAUGCGCAGAUAUCAGGAGGAACACCGGUGGCGAAGGCGGGUCUCUGGGCCGUAACUGACGCUGAGGAGCGAAAGCGUGGGGAGCGAACAGG
rnacentral:rRNA from 1 species